UACGGAGGGGGCUAGCGUUGUUCGGAAUUACUGGGCGUAAAGCGCACGUAGGCGGCUUUGCAAGUCAGAGGUGAAAGCCCGAGGCUCAACCCCGGAAUUGCCUUUGAGACUGCAUCGCUAGAAUUGUGGAGAGGUAAGUGGAAUUCCGAGUGUAGAGGUGAAAUUCGUAGAUAUUCGGAAGAACACCAGUGGCGAAGGCGACUUACUGGACACAUAUUGACGCUGAGGUGCGAAAGCGUGGGGAGCAAACAGG
rnacentral:rRNA from 1 species